rnacentral:snoRNA from 1 species
AAGACUACACUUUCAGGGAUCAUAUCUAUAGUUACUAGAGAAGUUUCUCAGGUCUUAUAAAGUACGGGAAACCACCGGGGGCGUGGGGGUGGGGGAGGGGUGGGGGCAGUGUUCCCUCCUGAACUUGAAGCUGGCUCUUGCUGUUGCUUUACUGUAUCUGUUUCUUUGCGGCUGAUGAUCGUUCUCUUCCUUACUUGAAGAGUGAGAGGGAGAGAAUACUGAGUGGU